rnacentral:rRNA from 1 species
UUGUCGAAACCUGNAAAGCAGAACGACCCGCGAACUAGUUUNUCUGGGGGCGUGUCGGCUCGUACCCCAACACCGGCGCGGGUUGCGCCAAGGACCAAUAAUUCUAUCGCUUCCCGCCUCCCUUGGGCGACCGGGGGAGUCGGCGACGGCGUGUCGACAACAAAACGACUYUYGGCAACGGAUAUCUCGGCUCUCGCAUCGAUGAAGAACGUAGCGAAAUGCGAUACUUGGUGUGAAUUGCAGAAUCCCGUGAACCAUCGAGUCUUUGAACGCAAGUUGCGCCCGAAGCCAUUCGGCCGAGGGCACGUCUGCCUGGGCGUCACGCAUCGCGUCGCCCCCUCCUCCUCCAUCUAGGACUGGGAGAGGGGCGGAUUCUGGCCCCCCGUGUGCCCUGCGCGCGGUCGGCCUAAAUACGGAGCCCGUGGCCGCGGAUGCUGCGACGAUUGGUGGUUUGACGCACGAUUCCACGAGCUUCGGUUUGUGGCAUCGUGAGGCAUCGCGUCGCUUGCCCGANCGGACCACGUAAAGCUCGAAGGACCCUAAGGAAGGAGAGUGGGCAUCCCAUCGGGGAUCCCGUGAUCCACCCUAACCNNNNGACCCCAGGUCAGGCNGGA